AGUGAACGCUGGCGGCAGGCCUAAUACAUGCAAGUCGAACGGCAGCACAGCAGAGCUUGCUCUGUGGGUGGCGAGUGGCGGACGGGUGAGGAAUACAUGGGAAUCUGCCCAGUCGUGGGGGAUAACGUAGGGAAACUUACGCUAAUACCGCAUGCGCCCUUCGGGGGAAAGCCGGGGACCUUCGGGCCUGGCGCGAUUGGAUGAGCCCAUGUCGGAUUAGCUAGUUGGCGGGGUAAAGGCCCACCAAGGCGACGAUCCGUAGCGGGUCUGAGAGGAUGAUCCGCCACACUGGGACUGAGACACGGCCCAGACUCCUACGGGAGGCAGCAGUGGGGAAUUUUGGACAAUGGGCGCAAGCCUGAUCCAGCCAUGCCGCGUGAGUGAAGAAGGCCUUCGGGUUGUAAAGCUCUGUCUGGAGGGACGAAGGAAGUGACGGUACCUCCGGAGGAAGCCACGGCUAACUACGUGCCAGCAGCCGCGGUAAUAUCACGU
rnacentral:rRNA from 1 species